rnacentral:rRNA from 1 species
UACAGAGGUGGCAAGCGUUGUUCGGAAUUACUGGGCGUAAAGGGCGCGUAGGCGGUCCGAUAAGUCCCGUGUGAAAUCCCUCGGCUCAACUGAGGAACCGCACGGGAAACUGCCGGGCUUGAGUUCGGGAGAGGGAAGCGGAAUUCCGGGUGUAGCGGUGAAAUGCGUAGAUAUCGGAGGAACACCGGUGGCGAAGGCGGCUUCCUGGACCGACACUGACGCUGAGGCGCGAAAGCUAGGGGAGCAAACGGG